UAGUCAUAUGCUUGUCUCAAAGAUUAAGCCAUGCAUGCCUAAGUAUGUGCUCUUGUAAAGUGAAACCACGAAUGGCUCAUUAAAUCAGCUAUUAUUCAUUAGAUCAUACCCGUUACAUGGAUAACUGUAGUAAUUCUAGAGCUAAUACAUGCCUCGAAUCCGUGACCCGCGAGGGGAUCGGUGCACUUAUUAGAACAAGACCAACCGGGCAUUCGCAAGUUUGCUCGGCCAUGUCGUGUUGACUCUGGAUAAUUUCUACAGAUCGCAGUCGGCCUUGUGUCGGCGACAGUUCUUUCAAAUGUCUGCCCUAUCAACUUACGAUGGUAGGUAACCUGCCUACCAUGGUGAUAACGGGUAACGGGGAAUCAGGGUUCGAUUCCGGAGAGGGAGCCUGAGAAACGGCUACCACAUCCAAGGAAGGCAGCAGGCGCGCAAAUUACCCACUCCCGGCACGGGGAGGUAGUGACGAAAAAUAACGAUGCGGAACUCAAUGAGGAUCCGUAAUCGGAAUGAGUACAGUCUAAAGCCUUUAACGAGGAUCAAUUGGAGGGCAAGUCUGGUGCCAGCAGCCGCGGUAACUCCAGCUCCAAUAGCGUAUAUUAAAGUUGCUGCAGUUAAAAAGCUCGUAGUUGGAUCUUGACGGCACUGUCGCUGAUCGAGUUUCGUUUGCGAAUGGUGCGACCACUGGUUGUCUCCGUGAGCUACGUACUUGACUUGUUGACGGUGCAGUCUUUCAGCCGUGUCUGAUCUCUUCGGGGGUCAGGUGCCUUUUGUCGGAUGAGCUAGUCUUGACUGUCAAUUGGUACGCUCCACGAUCCACUUCAUUGCGUGUCGUGGUGCGGGCGGCAUGUUUACUUUGAACAAAUUUGAGUGCUCAAAGCAGGCCACUGUGUCUGAAAAGUCUUGCAUGGAAUAAUAGAAUAGGACUUCAGUUCUAUUUUGUUGGUUUUCGGAUCUGAAGUAAUGGUUAAGAGAGACAGACGGGGGCAUUUGUAUGGCGGUGUUAGAGGUGAAAUUCUUGGAUCGCCGCCAGACAGCCUGAAGCGAAAGCAUUUGCCAGGAAUGUUUUCAUUGACAAAGAGCGAAAGUCAGAGGUUCGAAGACGAUCAGAUACCGUCCUAGUUCUGACCAUAAACGAUGCCGACUGACGAUCCGUGGGGUAAAAUCUUUUUGUCCCCACGGGCAGUCUCCGGGAAACCUUUAAGUCUUUGGGUUCCGGGGGAAGUAUGGUUGCAAAGCUGAAACUUAAAGGAAUUGACGGAAGGGCACCACCAGGAGUGGAGCCUGCGGCUUAAUUUGACUCAACACGGGAAAACUCACCCGGCCCGGACACUGUGAGGAUUGACAGAUUGAUAGCUCUUUCAUGAUUCAGUGGUUGGUGGUGCAUGGCCGUUCUUAGUUGGUGGAGCGAUUUGUCUGGUUAAUUCCGAUAACGAACGAGACUCUAUUCUGCUAAAUAGUACGCCCGUAACUGGUGGGUUAGCUAUGUUCGGGUUCACUGCAUUCUUGUGGUUGAGCUUGCUUCAGGCUUCCUGCUACGCGGGUGAAACUUCUUAGAGAGACAAACUGCGCUAGCAGUACGAAAUUGAGCAAUAACAGGUCUGUGAUGCCCUUAGAUGUCCGGGGCCGCACGCGCGCUACAAUGACGGUACCAACGAGUAUGACCUCCUGGCCCGAGAGGGUUAGGCAAACUGGUCCAUGACCGUCGUGACAGGGAUCGGGGUUUGUAAUUAUCCCCCGUGAACGAGGAAUUCCCAGUAAGUGCAAGUCAUAAGCUUGUGCUGAUUACGUCCCUGCCCUUUGUACACACCGCCCGUCGCUACUACCGAUUGAAUGGUUUGGCAAGGCCUUCGGAUUGGUGCCAUUGUAACGGCUUGCCGUUCGACAGGUGCUGAGAAGAGGACCAAACUUGAUCAUUUAGAGGAAGUAAAAGUCGUAACAAGGUUUCCGUAGGU
rnacentral:rRNA from 1 species